UUAUAAAUUAUAAAAUAAUUUUAGUAAAUUAAUAAUAGAGAAAUUUGUAAUGUUAUAUACUUAUAUAUAUGUAGAUUAGAAUACUAUCAAUAGCAUCAAGUUAUUAGUGUUAUUAAUUUUUUAACUCUUGAAUUGAGAAAUAUACGGUUAGGAUAAUUAAGACCCUUUAGGGUUGAGUGGGUAGUUGGUUGAAUAGUAUAAUUUAACGGAUAAAAAUAAUUAAAGGGUUAAAUUUAACAGUGAAAAAUUUGAUAGUAUCAAAUUCUUGAUGUUAUUGAUAGUAUCCCUGCCGAACUAUAUAUAUAUAUAUAUAUCUAUAGAGUCCGGCUACUAUGCUAUUAAUAGCACGAAGCACUUGGUGCUACCAAGUUUUCCGCCGUUAGAUCUACCCUUUAGAUCAUUUUCACCCGUUAGAUCAUACUAUUCAACCAACCACCCACUCAACCCUAGGGGGCCCACAUCAUCCUAACCACACAUCUCUUAAUCCAAUGGCCAAAAACUUGGUAGCACCAACNAGAGAGAGAGAGAGAGAGAGAGAGGUGUUUUGACACACAUUUUAAUGAAUCCAACGGGGGGUUUGUCGAUACGGGUUCGUUUCCUGUUGGUAUCGAAAACCCGUUAAGAAAAUUGGGGGUACACUAUAGCUGUCUCUGAAUCGGCAAUAACAUUUUCUCUCUUUUUUUUUCUGUUUACAAACACCUCUUCGACACUUCGUUCGAUCGUAGUAUCAAAAUUCCCCCUCUUUACGAAGAGAAACUCACGAGAACGGAAAAAAAAAAAUAGUCGCCGAUCCCCAAUUCUCACUUCAUUCGCGAUUCUUUCGAUUCGGGGAGAUAAUUAGGUACAUCUCUCCCUCUCUCGCGAAUGAUAAUUUUUUUCUUUAUUUUUUUUAUUAUGAUUUACUUUUUUAUUCUGCUUUUAAGGUAAAUUUCCCCACAUUUCAUGGUUGGUUUUUGCAUUUUUUUUCUUAAUUUAAGAAAAUUCAUGACCUCUUUGUGUAAUUAUUGUAUUGUGGUCUCUUAAUUUUAUACCUUGGUUAUUCGCUGGAUUCGCCACCUUGUAAUUAGCUAGAUAUUUGAGUUCAGCUGUAGUUGCAUUUACCAAUAUAUUCAACCAAAUUUGUUGUUCUAAUUUACCGUUUCGAUGGUGAGUUCAUUUUGUGCGCUGUGUGUUUUUGCGCAUUCGUUGAUCAUUGUUCGGUGGUGUAUUACUUUAGAUUGUAUGAACCUUCAUGUAGGUGUAUGAAAAGUUUAUAGGAAUUCGAUUUAACGAGUCCUUCGUGUAGGUGAUGAUGGAAAAAUCAUGAAAUUAAGGCUGUUUUUUUAACAGAUUACUGAGGAACUUGCCGAGCCCCUCGUAUGUAAUUCGGUUGUUGCUUUGAUAUCUACAGCAGCACUGUAGUUUGAAAAUCAUGUGUAUUUGGAUAAACAGAUUGUUAUCUUCGAAUGAAAAAUUACUAUACUGUUUUGUUUAUUGAUCUCUGCCAGCUGAGCUGGUGUAGCGAUUUCAGUCGGAAUGGAGGAUCAAUUCUUUCACUGUAAUAAGCUUUGACUUGUUAUGUUUGCUUUCUUUUUUUUUGGUUUUGUAAAGCAGUAGUAAUGGAUGAUCAUGUAAGGAAAAAGUCCCUUAUAUUCUUAAGAUAGCCAAAGGCUCUUCAUUCGUCUGUGGGGAUGGAAAAGAAAAGAGCUACUGAAGAAAAUGAAUCAGGAUUUGCUCCUCCUUCAAGAUCGGUGGACAAGUUUGGUUUUAUAAAGCAAGAUAAUUGGGGAAAUUCUGCAGAGGGCUUGACGAGAAGCAGAUCUACAAAUGACCGUGAAAGGUACAGAUUAUACCGUACUAAUCUUUUGAUUCUCUUCACAGGUUUUGUUUGAUUGUAGCAACUGCUUAAUAUUUUUAUUCUUCAGGAGAAUUUAAUAUACUUCAACGAUAAUAGAUGUGAAGUAUGCAUAUCUGAGUUUAGAUAAUAAACAUAGGAAGAGCGAGAUUUCACAUAAGAUGGUUACAUAUAAGAUUUCACUGACCAAUCUAGAUUUGAACACUAUAACGCUUGACUCUGACUGUGCAUUUAGAAGUUUCUAUUAAAAAUUUUUUGGGAGAUACUCAUCAACAAUAUGAUUUGUCACUGUAAAUGUCAUAUUUCGAUCAUUGACAAAUCAUAUUGUUGAGUGCAUGACAUUCCGGUUGUAAAAAAGUGAUUUGUACACUCGUUUUAGCUUUCUUAGUAGUCAGUAUUUUCUUUGAACUUCUUUCAGGGAGGAGAGGAGGAUUAAAAAAUGGAGGAAGAUGAUAGGUGUUGGUGGAAGCGACUGGAAGCAAUAUGUUAGGAGAAAACCUCAUGUCGUUAAGAGACGUAUAAGGAAAGGAAUUCCUGAUUGUUUGAGGGGUCUCGUCUGGCAAUUAAUUUCUGGAAGUCGAGACCUCCUGCUGUUGAACCCUGGAGUUUAUGAGGUACUCUUGCCUGUCCUUUUUUUUCCUCGGCUAAACAUUGACUUUUUCUUCCAUAAAAUAUCUUAGUUAAAGCUUACAGAAAAUUAUUUUUAUGUAGUGAAUCGUAGCAAUAUGUCGAACUAGAGGUUUUAUUGUUGCAUCUUUAGUUUGAUUUUUAAUUUUGUGCACUAGUAAGAUAUACUUCUUGUAGAAUGUUGUCGGUGUCACCAAUCGUUUCUGGUUAACCACUUAUGGGUUAUUCAAGUUUAGUCUGAAGUUAGUAAGUAACUUUGUUCUUCUGAAUUUACUUUUUUCUGGAAACAAUCUAUUCCUACAUGCUAAACAUGUGGACACAAUUGUGUUAAUGGGCUUGAAAGAAACAGAUCCACAGAAUCGGCGGGGGGGUGCCGGCGUUGGUUUUUGGGGGAAGAGGGCGGGGGGGGGGGAGAGGAAUCUAAACAAGAGACUCAAAUUCUGAGUAAAAUCAAGCAAGAUGAGUUACAUUUUGUCUGGACUCAUAUUUUAUUGCCUUGCCUGUAUGGGUUCCGUUGUGUUUAAACCAAUCUGUGAUUAGCAUUACCUUUUUAGUUUGUUAACAGUCUACUAAUUUUCUGCUGCAGCGACUUGUGAUAUAUGAGACAUCGCCAUCAGAACUGGAUAUCAUUCGUGACAUAUCUCGGACUUUCCCUUCACAUGUUUUCUUUCAACAGAGACAUGGGCCUGGACAGAGAUCCUUGUACAAUGUUCUAAAGGCAUACUCUGUCUAUGACAGGGAUGUUGGAUAUGUUCAGGUUUGAGUCUAAAUACUAAAGAAAAAAAAAGAUUUGGAAAUUUGUAACUGACAUAAUUGAAUAGUUAGCUCUUGGAUAUCUAUAAUGCAGCUGUUUUUGAUUGCAGGGUAUGGGAUUUUUAGCAGGUCUGUUACUUCUUUACAUGAGUGAAGAGGAUGCUUUUUGGCUAGUAGUUGCUUUAUUGAAGGGGGCUGUUCAUGCACCAAUGGAAGGGUUGUAUCUGGUAAUUAAAAAUAUUUAAAAAAUUCUUGUUUUUAAAUAAAUACGUACCUUCAUUUUGAUGUUGAGAUGACAUUUUUGUUUAAUUAUUUUUCAUUGCUUCUUGGUUCAUCAUUGUUUGUGGGAAGAGGCCGUGUAGUUGCCCAUGAGUAUAUAUUCAUCUCUACUUGUAAUGCUUCAGCAUCUUGGACUAGCACUUAUGUUUGUACUUGUGGAACAGGUAGGUCUGCCACUUGUACAGCAAUACCUAUUUCAGUUUGAGCAAUUAGUGAAUGAGUACAUGCCAAAGUUGGGGCAACAUUUUUCUGAAGAAAAGAUAAACCCAAGCAUGUACGCAAGCCAAUGGUUCAUAACUGUAUUUUCAUAUUCAUUUCUGUUUCCUUUGGUUCUUCGCAUUUGGGAUGUUUUCCUGUAUGAGGUUAGUAUCGUCAUGCUUCAUAUAUUAAACACAAUAAGGUCAUCCAAGUCAUUAUUUCCAAUUAUUGUGCAACCCAGAACCACCUAAGAAUUUAUAAAAUCGAUCUCGUGACACUAAACUCACAUUGAAAAUAAUUUGCAUGAAAGCUUGUCUUUUUCUCUUGAAGUGAGAAUUUCUUACUAUAUUAAUUUGACUAGGAAUAUUGCUCUCUAUGUAAAUUCUUGCAUGUUUUCCUACAAGGUGACUUACAUUGUCACUCUCAAAUUUUAAAAUAUCUUUUAUGCAGGGUAUGAAAGUUGUCUUUCAAGUUGGGUUGGCUUUAUUGAGAUUUUGCCAUGAUGAUUUGGUGAGCUUUCUGUUGUUUCUGAUUGCUAUGAUCUGAUUGUAGAACUUAAUUUACUUCAAGCCGGUCUUGAACAACAGGUAAAGUUACCCUUUGAGAGACUUAUACAUGCUUUGCGAAACUUUCCCGAAGAUGCGACAAAUCCAGAUACACUAUUGCCGCUUGCGCUCUCUUUUAAGGUGAAGAUCAAAAUUCAUAUCCACUUUUUGAUCAACAAAUGAAACUGAGUCACACUUGUUGUUUUUCCUUCUUUUUUUUUUAAAAAAAAAUACACAUAGGUUUUGAAACACUUGGAGGAAACUGAACUAGAAUAUCAGAGGAGAAACGAGGGAUCUGUAACCUGCGGAGUCUCAUGUGGCAAUCGGCUGCUUUCAAUUAAAUCAAAGACACUAAGCAGGACUCGAACGGCUGCUUGUGUCUUUCAGAAUGAAUCUUCGAGCUAAGCCCUAUGGCAGUAAGUAAAAUGUUAUUAAGAUAAAGGUGCUAUAUCCUAUACAAAUCCUUAUGUACAGCAGAUACAAUUAUUUUCUCUCUGAUUUGUUUGUUGAUUGUUUUCGUUCUCAAAAUAUGGCUUUCAUUGAGCAAGUAAUGCUGCUUGUAUAAUAUUAUGUGCAGUGAUUUGUUGUUGAAUUUCGACUGUAAACUUAACCGUCUUCGUGGCUGAUUUAUUCGGCAUAUGUAUUUCAUGUAAAUCACCAAUAAUACACUGAAAGGUGUCUCUUCGGAUGAUUCGUUGCUAUUGUGAUUUAUUUGCAUAGCCAAUAUGAGGGAUGUAGAUUGAUUUGGAUUUUAGCCCAUGAUAUAAUUUCAGGUAUCACUUUUAGACCCUCUUCUUGCCAGGUCUUUUCUCCUUGAUGCCGGCGGCCGCUGCUACUGUUUGGAGAUGCUUAAGGCUUCUGCUCUGCAGGAAAACAUUUCUAUGGCUUUGCUUGGUAGAGGGUGGCAAAACUAUUCUCAAAGAGCCAAUGUAAUAUAUUAAGGCGAAAUAUGUGAGGAUUACUGAAAUGAUGAAGGCUUCUUGUAAUUUGUUUUGUUAAAUGAAAUGCCUACAGAUUAUUGAUUUUCAAAGAAUAAGUUGGAGGAAAUUGUAAUUUGCUUUUUCAGUUUAUUUUUUUAUUGAGAAAUUUACUUAAUUCAUUGAAUACUCUUCAUAUAAACUCUAUUUCGUUAUUAUUUUUUAACCCUUUUUUUUCUUUUAACUUGCUUAAGCCCCUCUGUUCACUCCUGUUCUUUUUAAGGCUAAACUCUUAAAUAAAUAUUAUAAAUUAAAGAAAAAAAAUGCACUGAGACCUGCGGAACUAUAAGUCAUAUUGAAAUAGCCCCUUAAUUAUAACUCUUUUUAUCAAGUCCUCUUAAGAAUGUAAGCAUUCGUAAUGAAUUAAGUAUUUUUAAUUGAAUAAAUAAAAAAUUACAUCAAAUCAUGAUAAUUUUAUGUAAAUUUUGGCCUUUAAAUCAAAACUAAUGGUUUUUAUUUUUUUUAGUGGGCAAAAUUAGAAUAAUUAGCAGGUGAUAGUUAAUCCAUGCAUUAAAUUUAAUAAGAAUAAAUAAAUUACUAAAAGUUAAAAGGAACAUCAAUGAGAAAAACUAAAUUUAAAAUAGGCCAUUUCAAAAUAGCAUUAAGUUGAGGAGUUUUCCGUACAUUUUAACCAAAAUUAAAUUAAUGAAUCAAAUGAUUUAAGUUCGGAUUCGUGCUUAUUUACUCUUUUUUUUUAGAGAGAGAGAGAGAGAGAGAGAGAGAGNAAUAAAUUACUAAAAGUUAAAAGGAACAUCAAUGAGAAAAACUAAAUUUAAAAUAGGCCAUUUCAAAAUAGCAUUAAGUUGAGGAGUUUUCCGUACAUAUUUACAAAUUUAAGUGUCAAGGAACUCGAUCGACGACGACCCAACAAAACCCUAGCCUCGACCUCGGCCUAAAAGGUACUCUCUCUCUCUCCCCCUAAUCAAAUCGUAAUCGAUCGAGCGAAUCCCAUCAGAGAUCUAAGAGUCUUCUACCUCUGGGGGACAUUUUGUGUUGUUUGCUUCGAUUCCGCUUCCCCUUCUUAUAUUGUUUCAAUCUGAUUAUCUGUUCCUGAUGAGUGGACCCAAAAUUUGUUGUGAGGCACUCGAUUACGAUUUGCAACGUGAAAGAUCAUGCACGUAGUAUAACUUGUUCUUUUUAAACUUUUAGAUUGUAGGGAUCAAGCAAUUGUGGUUGAGAUUUUGAUAUUAGUACAUAUAGUAGUUCUGCUAUUUUGUCAAUUAAGCUUACAUGAAGGGGAAGUUUGAGCAGCGAAUUGAUGGAUUAUGAACUUUAUCAAUCUGAUUGGGAGGUUUAUUAACUCAUUUCUGUCGUUAAGUAACUAUAUCAUAUAAUUAAGAAAUUUUGAUGAGCCCUACCUUGUCGUGUGUGCUCAUUGAAAUGCAUGAAUUGGAAGUUGCAAUGGACAAUCAGAGCAACGACCUCAAGGUGGUAGAGUGUUAGGGCAAACCACAAAAUGUAAAGUAGAAUUGCUACUCCAUGAAGUGCUUCCCAGUUACGUUCGAUCCUUAUGUUGCUUAAUCUCUAUGGAGACAUAUUGUAAAGAAGCUGAUAAAAUGAGAUGCGAUAUUCUUUUUUCUUCAAAUGCUAAAAUUUCAUGUCGCGUCCUACAAUAAUAUUAUUAGCUUAUUUAUUUCAAAUUAUUCUGUUGAAGUAAGGAAAUCAAGCUCAAAAUCAGUCGUUUGAUUGUUGUUUAAUAUCUGUCGAUAUGACCCAGUCCAUUUAUUUGCAUGUUCUUGACAAAUAUACUUCUGUUCCUUUAGUUGUUUUCUAAUGCUAUAAUUAUUACCAUAAUCAGGUACCUAGCAGGAAAAGUUGCUAUGUCAGCCUUCCGAGCUUUCUGGAACAGUCCUGUGGGGCCAAAAACAACUCAUUUUUGGGGACCUGUUGCUAACUGGGGCUUCGUCGUUGCUGUUUGUCCUAACUUCACUUGUUGAUUUGUCAGAUGCUUUUUAGACUUAAAGACAAAAUGCUAUCUAUUGUGGCAACAGUUGAUUGUAUUGAAUUUUUUUUUUUUCCAUAUUAAAUUUUAGCUUCUACUUUUAUGCCUUUAUCAGCUUACCUGAUGUUAUCUCUGUUAAUCGUGAUAGCUGCAAAAUAGCUGAAAAUGAAUUAGCUGUUAUGGUUCCUCUUACUACCAUUUUCUAUUAUUCUGCUUUAUAAAGAUCACAAGGAGAAAUUGAUGAUUUGUUCGUAUUUUCUAAGUCAUUUUCCUUUGAAACGUUUCAAUUCUGUGAAGUUAUACUUUUUCCUGCAUGUGCUUAAUUAGGGAUACCCUGUGAGGUGUAUCUGCGCAUUGAUUAGUGGAAUGCAGUUGUCAGCAGGAUGAUUUAAUUUAUCUGUUUACGUGCUGUUAGAGAAUCUCAUUCUCAGUGCUUUACCAGGAUUCUUUGAAUCUUUAUAUUUUCUAGUUCCUUUCAUUCUUCACAUACUUGGCAGAGAUAGAACUUGGGGUGAUUUGAGAUGUGAUGAGAUAGAAUUCCAGUUGCCUGGGAGAAGUGUCUGCAGGCACGCGUGCAAAUUUAUGCUUGUGGUCUUUCUAUGUUCUGGUCAUUCUGGUGUCCUACUACUAAGAUGAUAAUUUGCUGUGUACUAUUCAUGAUCAUUCUAGUGCUUGAAUAAGUUUGAUUGGGAAAUUAAUGGAGAUAUUUUCAAGCUACAAUUUAUGUUAUGUAUUUCUGCCAUCACACUUCAUUUGUCUAAAUAAGUGAACUUUGACAGGUUAGGUAGCAUUUUAAAAAUCAUUCAAAUGGUAUAGUAUUGAUUAGUAAGUCAUAACGUUCUAUUUGCAGCUUGGAUGGUUCUAUUUCUGGGUGCAAAAGAUAAUAAUUUGGGUCUUAAUGGAAAAUCUUUAAGAUUUAUUGCCUCUUUUCUGCGAGCUGUUUCAAAGUUAUAAUUAGUUAGGGUCUUUGACUGAGGAAAAGGGACAGUUUUGCAUUUGUAAACCCAUAAUUCUGUGAAUUUUUCAUUUGGGUAGGCUUUAACAUGGAUUGUAAUCUUUGUCUUGUGAUUGUCAAUGUUCCUUUUGACCUUGCUCUAAUCUAUUUGAUACCCUUCUUCGUGUUUGAGUAUUGUUAUGGAUGCAGUUAUAUGACUUGCGAUUGCUUUUUCAGGGUUUGGUAGAUAUGAACAAACCCCCUGAGAUGAUAUCUGGCAACAUGACUGCAGGUAGAGACACUUGAAAAUGAAAAUUGUGGUUUAUUUAAUUCUCACAAGACAAAUAUUAAUCUUCAACAUUUUCUUGUGCUGCAGCCAUGUGUGUUUAUUCAGGACUCUUUAUGCGGUUUGCAUGGAUGGUAAAGCCUCGAAACUACCUGCUUUUAGCAUGCCAUGCCUCCAAUGAAUCAGUUCAGCUCUAUCAGUUAUCUCGCUGGGCAAGGGCCCAAGGGUAAGUAUCUCAGCACUGAAGUCUCCUUUGGGAAAUUCUUAAUACUUUAGAGAUGAUAAUUUAGCCCAAGAUGCGAUGAUAGACUUAGCUGGUUCAUUGAACCUAUUUGUCUGCUAAUAAUUUUAGCCCUAUUAAUAUCACUACCUACAGGGGUAUGGAUUCAUCUUAGAUCAUAACCCUGAUGCAUCAUAUCCACAUUGCUUGUAGUAGACUCUCAUUUUAUGGCCCUAGUCUCUUUCUGUCAUAAGAUCUAUACUUAAUAAGCAUCGUAUUAGUUGCUCCAUUCAAAUAUUGGUUCAAAUACUGGACCGGCUAACAUCAUUUUUCCACUUGAUGCUUACUUCUGCAAAGUUGGAAGUGUUAUUCUUUUGUGCUCAAUAGAAUCAUGUUGCUGGCAUUAUAAUAGCUGAACUUCUUGAUGUGCUGAAUUUCUUAGUGUUUGGUUCACUGGAAAAUUAUGUGAUAACCUGUUUGGAAAAUUAUGUGAUAACCUGUUUUUAUGCAUACGUGCCCUCGUGUAGGGACUAGGGAACAAGUGUAAUUUUACUUGUUAUUGACAUUGAGAAUGGAAUUCCUAUUUAAACUAUGAUAACAGAUGUGCAUAUUCUUUCUUGUAUUGUUGAAGCUUUGUAGUCUGGAAGUACAUUAGUUUCUUCUGUGCUUUUGCCAAUUUAUUAUGCAAUUUGUGAUGCGCAUAAUAUUGACAGAUUCCUGGACAAGAAAGAGCCUGAGGUGCAGCAAUAGAUUCUGAAAGUGGGUUUUAUCUUUGGUUUAUUCAAUAAAGAGGUGAUGUUACUGACGCUUUAUUUUGUUUAGAUUGCAAUUUGAAUUGUUUAUACUAUUUUUAUCAAAGAUCUUGCGCUGGUUCUCCUCCUAAAUCUAUCUAAACUGUGUUGCGAAUUUGUUGCUUCGUGGAUUUGCGAUUAUCUGUUGGUAUCCAAGAAGGGAUUGAUUUUUAUUUUUAUUUUUUUUAAAUAAUUGGAACGACUAUAGGAAUAGUGUCAGUAGUAAAAUACUCCGUUUGGGCUUGUGUGAGAAAAUUAGGUCCUAUUGUAUGCAAUGUUAGCUGUGCACUAUGUUAUAGGAUGCACAUCUUACAUUUCAUAAUUCUAGAAUUUAAUAGAUCCUUUUGAUUAUUAUUAUUUUUUUGUAUAAGAAAAUUUGUAUGAUAAAUGAGUAAAUCCUAGUCAUAGAGAACGCUGGGUGUAAAUCUAACGCCUUUAGCGUACAGGCGGCAUUGCUCAUUUCUUUAAUGUCGAGUUGUCGACUCUUGCUUACAACUCUUCAUCAAACGUAAGAAAGAAACAAUCUAGCGGGUUGUUUCUUUGCAUGCCGAUCCUACUGCAUUGCAUGUCUAAUUGCUCGCGAAGCUAAUUUCAUUAUUUGAAUUGAUGCAUUGGAAACUGUAAGAAAAGAUCUAUCAAUAUAUAGCAGGUAAGGGCCUAAUCAAUUUUCAAACCGACAAUAUAUAUUUCCUUCUACAAUGGAUAGAAGAGGGGUACAAUUUCUCAAUACGGUUACUAGUUAAAUGCAUCCAAAUUUAUAGAAUUUUUUACUUAUAUUCAAUCAAACAAAAAUUUAUAACUGGGAUUCAUUAUAUUUUUAACUAUCUUAGAUAUGUUGAAUUAUACUGGAUCAAACAACCUUCAAGAGUAGCAGGGUCGUCAUCAUCAUUCUAGAAGAACCAGAGGUUGCAGAGAACAACAAUCCUCGGUGUCGCUUCAUAUUUUUAUUAUUAUUAUUAUUAUUAUUUUUUCCAUUUCAACAUAAAUUACAAUUUAUAGAGGAUUAGGUGACACGGGGGUGGAGUGGGACUUAAUUAUGUUUCUAAUUGCUACUUAGCUUGUAAGGCAUCUCGAAAAGAUCAUUUGCAGAAAAGACAACGAAGUGGGUAAAAUUUACGUUUUAUUUUUUUGACCGGAGAAAUCCUUGGACGUUCGAGUUUCAACAACGUGAGUGCAUACGAUUUGUCUAAGAAACAAAAUAAUAACAAUAAAAAAAUGAGGCACUAAGUAUUUUUUUAAAUAAAUAUUAAUAAAUUAUUAUUAAUAUUAAAGAGUGACACAGCAUUUAUGUUUUACAACUUCAUGCGUAGAAAAUUUGGCCGGAGCAGAUUUUUUUUAAUGCACGAGGUUGGACUGAGAAAAGAAAAGCUGUCAAAAAUCAGAGCGGAUUAUCAGUAUCGAUCGCGAAUUUACGUUUCCAGGUGGGAAUCGGUGAUUACAACAACAUAAUAAAACACACUAUACUAUUAUUAUUAUUUAAUACCAAGAACAAGAACCAGUACCAAUACCGACAAAAUAAAUAGCCACUGUAUUGUAGCUUCCGCCUAACAUCCUACGUAUUUAUUAUUCAAAACAAAAAAUUAUACAAAAUUAAGAUUAAAUAAAAUAAAAUUUUUACGUCGUAUGACGUAUCCCGUGUCUUCCACGGGGCUAAUUGCAAAUUAAGUCCAGCUCUAAAUUUCAACGGAUGCCACUCUUUCUGGGCCCACAAGAUUUCUUCUCAAUCUGCGCCAACUGAGCCGCCAGCCUUAGCAGUCCUGACCUCUUAUGGAUAGGCAUGCAUGCAGGCAGUGACGAAGUCAAAAAUUAAGGUUCGAAGAGAUCGAGAUAAUAAUCUAUUGCUAGAGCGUCAGUAAUGAUAAUGUGCUUGUUAAGGUACCGUUUAGUUCGGGUAUAAGUAAGAACUAGUUAUUACAGAGAUAGGUAUAAGUAUGGGAAUAAAAAAAUAGUGUUUGGAUGAAAAUUAGGUUAUUUCCGAAGAUAAGAAAAAUAACGUUUGGAUAGAUAAUAUGGAAUAAGAAAAAUAUUAGGUAAUUUUAUAUAGAAAAUGGAGGUAUUGGUGGGGAUAAUUAUAACCGGUUAUUAUAGAUAACUGAGAACUACUGUUCUCAGAUAAAAAAUUAGCAUUUGGGUAUAUAAGGGGAUAAGGGCCUAUCCUAUCCCCUUACCAAACACUGCCUUAAAGAAUAGCAAGAUUAUAAGAACUUACGAAAAACGGCCUGAAGAGUUCGAAAAAAGAUUAGGAUACAAAUUUUAUUAAGAAAAAAAUUAAUUUGACCCCAUUUAAAACUAAAAUUUAUAAUAUGUUAAUUUUUACUAUAAAGAAUUUAUAUAUAAUUUUUAAAAGUUGAGGGAUAUCAUUGAACCUCUUUAUGGCUCCGUUCUUACUGCAUGCCGACUAUAUAACGCCUUUCUUACACCGCCUUGAUUUUUUUUUUUUUUUUGGUGGCGGGAGUGUCCGCGUUUCUAGUUUCUACUGUAUCGUCGCGCCAAUAUAUAAUACACAUUCUAUUCAAAGUAACUGAAGUGUGUGACCAUCUAUCUAAUUCUCGCCAGUUUAAGGACACUUGUUGAAUGCACCUGCUAUAAUACUAGUAGGAUAAAGCUCUUUGUCUUAUCAAAAUAUUCUGAUCAUUAAGAGUUCACAUUGUUAAUCUAGAUAGUUAAAUUUAAUGUAGAAAAUUUUAAAUGCCUAAAAAACUAAAUUUGGUGAUUUUUCAAUGUUAUUUAUAUGAUGAUGGAAAGACGUAAGGUUCGACAUAUUUUUGUGGUAUUUAACUUAUUUACUCGAUUAACAGUGUAAAACAAUUCAAACAAAUUAUUUUUCAAUGAAAAUUAUUUUCACCGUGUUCCGAUCUUUUAUUGAAAAACUUUAAUCUCCAUUGUCAUAACAUUAUUGGUUUGUAAUUGUUCAUUUUGUGAUUUUUGAUAUGAUGAAUAAUAUUUAAAAAAAAAUUAAAAAAUUCAAUUCAUGAACACAUUAUAUGCUCUAGGUUAUGUUUGACGGUGCAAUUUACUAAUUCAAAAUUUUUAUCUCUAGAGCGUAAGGCCCAUGUGGUAUUGAGACUCAUUCGAUACUAAUAAUUAAAAAAGACAGAGUCGGAAGAAAAUUGUGUAAAGUUAUAUUUAUUUGCUUUUUAGUCGAACGCGAAAGAUAUAUCGUAAUGGACUUAUUGUGAUACGCAGAAUAUUAUAUUACAUAUGAACACAAAUAAAAUAUUUUUUUAUUGUACUUUUUCGCUACUGUAUGUAAUAUAAUUUUCUCGUUAUUCCAGACGGAACCUUAAGGUAUCGUUUGGUUCGGGGAUAAGCAAAAAGAGGGUAUUCCGGGGAUAGGUAUAAAUUGAGGUAUAAGCGAGGAUUAGAUCAAUUUUGCGUUUGGAUGAAAAUUGAGUUAUUACUGGGAAUAAGAAAAAUAGCGUUUGGUUAGGUAAGAUGGGAUAAGAAUUAAAGUUGGUAGUUAAAAAUAAAAAAUAAUGAUAUUAUCUUUUUCUUUAUAUUAGAAUUUAAACUUUUAUAUUUUAUAUUUAUAUUUUAAAAUUUAAAAUAUAAACUUUUAAUUUAAAAAUUAAAAUUAAAAUUUUAAAUUUUAAAAUCUCAAAUUUAUAAUUUUAAAAAAUUAAUUUUUUAAAGUUUGAACAUUAAAUUUAAGAUGAAAUUUUAAUUUAAAAAAUAACAUAUCAAAUUCUAAAUAUAAAAGAAAUUAAAAUAUCAAAAUUUUAAAUUUUAAAUUAAUAAUUUAAAAUUUAAAUUUUUAAUUUGUAAUUUAAAAUUAUAAAUUUUAAUUUUUGAAUUUAUAAUUUAAAUUUUUAUAUAAUUAAAAAUUCUCUCUCUUCUCUUUCAUGGGUGGAACAGUAGGUGAUCCUAAAAAUAUUUUUUUAAUUUAAAAAUUAAAAUUAAAAUUUUAAAAUUAAUUUAAAAUAAAAUUAAAUUUUAAAUUUUAAAUUUUUUUUAAUUUUAAUUUCAAACUUUAAAAUUUAAAAUUUAAGAUCAAAUAAAUUUAAAAUAUAAAUAUCAAAUUUAUAUUAAAAAAUAUAAAUUAAUAUUAAAAUUUAAAAUUUAAAACUAUAAACUUGAAUUUUGAAAUUACCAAUUAUAAAUUUUUAAAACUAAAUUAAAAUUAAAAUUUUUUAAUUUUAAUUUUAAAAAAAUUAGGGUGGGAACAACUUGUUCCCACCCCUAUUCCACCUAAGGUGGGAACUAGCUAUUCCCACCCUAACGGGUUAUCCUAGAUAACCCGUUAAGGGUGGGAAUAGCUAGUUCCCACCCUUAAAAAUAGUGUUUGGGGAACAAGGCGGGGAUAACCCCUUAUCCCCACCCUUGUUCCCCAACCAAACUAGCCUAAUUGGAUAUGAGAUGAAUUGGUGUGGUUUUCUGCGCCUAGAACACUCUAUAGAUUAACAUCAAACAAUGAGCGAAAAAAUGCAUAUGAGUAAAGCAUACCUGCUGGUUAUUGUAAGGCCUCAAUUUUUGACCGGAAGGACCCCAAAGGCAUUUUGCCGUUCCAUAUCUUGGAUAGAUAGAGGGUUGAGCUUUUUUUUUUUUUUUUUUUUUUUUUUUUUUUUCAUAUUAUCAAACAUUGAACAAUGAAAAUUUGUCCUAUUAAUAUAUAGGAUAAUAAUAGUUAGAUUUCACGUACCUUGUCACUACCGCCAUUAUUUCAAUCCUCAAUUAAUUUAAUAAUAAUAAUAAUAAUAAUAAUAAUAAUAGCUAGAUUCCACAUAUUUGGUCACUAACGUCAUUAUUUCAACCCUAAAUUAAUUAAUAACAAAAAAUAAAGAUGCUAUAUAUAGGCACCUCAAAAUGUAUUUUAAAAUAUUUUUAGCCAAUAAAUUUUAUAUAUCUGGUACUUGUGUAUGAUUUAGUUAUUUAAAAUUUUGGAUAUAAAACUAGGACGCUAUUAAUAUUUUUUAGGUUACUAAGCCCAUAGAAUUAUUAUUUUCUUUUAAAAAAGAACUUGAUUACAUCAUACAUAUAUAAUUUUGGAAAUAACAUAAACACAUUUACAGAGAAAAAGGAAAAACAUCAAUAUCUCCAAAACUAGAUAAAAGGUGUAAGUACUGAACCAAAUAAAGAAAAAACAUCAAUAUCUCCGAACAUAAGCAAGAAAAAAAAGAAGAUAUAAUGAGAAUGAGUGCUCUUUAAAUCUGAACCAAAUAAAUUAAGCUUAUAACAAUAAAAGAGUCAUGGUAUAAAAUAAAAUAUGAUAGAUAAAAAUAAUCAUUUAGUUUGUCUUGACUCGAAGGGACCAACAUUCUGUGCUGUGGAGAGAGGCCAAAUUGAACCGAGUUAUAUUCGAAAUGGCGUGAGUUUUGAUUGGAUCGAGUUAUAUUUGAAGUGGUGUGAGACUGACUAAAUUAAGUCACAAUCGAAACCUAUAGACAUUGUAUCUGUACGCUUUAAAUGAAUAUAUUGUAUUUAUCUAAUAAUUCGAGCUUUUGGGAUUAAAAAUUCGUGUCCCUCGAAUAUAUCAGAACGUCUCUAUAUAUUUUCAAAUCUGCCAAGCGUGCGACCCCAGUAUGAAAAAUACUCAUGAAGUUUGUGAAACCUAAUUGCAGAUAGAAGUUCCGAAUAGUACAAGAGCGUAGCAAUAACGACUAACGAGACAAAUGAGCUAGAUAAUUGUGGGAAACAACGUGAAGAACAAUAUAAAAGACCACAACAAAGAAAAUUACACAACAAAAAAGAAUAAAAGUCCGUGCAUGUUGGUUGAAUUUGGCUGAACAGCCAGCAAAGAUCCGGCCAAGGGCCAGAGAAAACGGUGUUGGUUGAGAAAAUUAGAGAGAGAAAGAGAGGAAAAGAGUCUUAAGACUUUAAUUUUACCAAGUGAAAACUUUGCCGGCUUGUAUAUGUGUAAGAGUAUAAAUCUUACAUCCCUACAAAGAAUCUAGAGUGCAUAUUUUACACGCAUACCAUAAGGCAUGUAAAUAAUAUCGCACAUUUAUAAUAUUUUAAUUCAGUAAAAAUUAUAUUUUUUUUGGACGGUUGAGACGGAUACGGCUUGUCAUGCAACACAUCAAUCUAGGUAAUAAAAUUUUUACACCAACUAAACAAUGACUUUAUGCUUCCAACUGUAAAAGAACUCCUCCAUAAAUAAAUGUCGCUCAAGCUGAAAGGAGAAGGUAAAAUUAAUAAGCCAUGCAGAUACGUAAUAUAAAUGCAUAGCAUAUGCAAGAACUCCUUUUAGUCCCAACCUAAAAGAGAGCACCCCAAACUAAGUUUCUAUGGCUCUUCCUCACGUGAUCGCCUCCCUGCUGCUGCCUUUCCUACUUGUUCUUCUUGGCCUCCUACUGCUCCCUCUUCUAUUCCUCACAAGAAGAAAGGGCUGUAGCACAUCACUAAAACUUCCCCCGGCCCCUCCCAAGCUCCCAGUAAUCGGCAACCUCCACCAGCUUGGAAUACUACCCCACCGCUCCCUCUCUCGGCACUCGCAGCGAUACGGCCCCCUCAUGUACCUAAAACUUGGCUGCAGGCCGACCGUCGUGGUGUCCUCUGCCGACAUGGCCCGGGAGAUCCUAAAGACGCACGAUCUGGAGUCCUGCAGCCGACCGUCCCUCACCUCGUAUACGAAGCUCUCCUACGGUGGCUCGGACAUCGGCCUCGCGGCGUAUGGAGAGCAGUGGAGAGAGCUCCGAAGGAUUUGCAUCAUCGAACUUUUCAGUGCCAAGAAGGUCGCCUCGUUUCGAUCCAUUCGAGAAGAAGAGGUGGAAAGAACUAUGAGCUCGAUAUCCUCUUAUUCAAGCAGUUCUCUCCCUGUCGAUUUGAGCAAAGAAUUGAUAGCGCUUACGAGCACUAUCACUUGUAGAAUGGCCUUCGGAAGGAGCUACCAUGAUGUUGGAAGCAGGUUUCAGGCGAUUCUGAACGAAACACAGGCCAUGCUCGCGGGCUUUUUCAUCGCGGACUACUUGCCUAUCAUCGGAUGGGCCGAUUGGCUCACAGGGAUGAGAGCGAGGCUCGAGAAGAACUUUAUCGAUCUUGAUCGGUUCUACCAGCGAGUCAUUGACGAGCAUCUCGAUACAGUGCAGCAGCAACGUGGCUCUAGCGAAGACUUUGUGCAUAUAUUACUGCGCAUGCAGAAGGACGAGAAUAGUCUAACCACAGACCAGAUCAAAGCAGUCCUUAUGGUAAGUAAAAUUUCCGAUGCUGAAUCGCAUAAAACGUUGUCCUAUAUUAAUUCUACACAAUUUUAUUCUGUUUUGCAGGAUGUUUUCAUUGGUGGGAGCGAUACGUCCUCAGCCACCGUGGAGUGGGCGAUGACGGAGCUAAUGAGGAACCCGCAAACGGUGAAAAAAGCUCAAGAAGAAGUAAGAAGCCUCGUCGGGAGGAAAGGAAAGGUAGAGGAGAGCGAUAUCGACCAACUACGCUACCUCAAGUGCGUUGUGAAGGAGACCAUGCGGUUGCAUCCGGUGGCUCCCAUGCUGAUCCCAAGAACAACGUUGCAGCAUUUCACAAUCGACGGCUAUGAUGUCCCGCCCAAUACGAUGAUAUACAUCAAUGCUUGGGCGAUCGGAAGGGACGGAAGUUACUGGGAAUGGCCGGAGGCGUUCAAGCCGGAGAGGUUCAUGAACAGCGCGGAUCUCGAGUUCGCAGGGAAGGACUACAAUUUGAUUCCAUUUGGGGAGGGUCGCAGGAUCUGCCCAGGGAAGAACCUCGGGAUAAAAACGGUGGAGAUCAUGCUCGCCAACCUUCUUUACUCCUUCGACUGGGAACUUCCAACGGGUAUGACGGAGGAGGACAUCAACAUGGAUGAGGCGCCGGGCAUCGCUGUGCACAAAAGACACGCUCUCCGCCUUCUCGCCACUAGAUAUAUAUAGCGGCAUCUAUAGCUAAAAUUUAUACAUAUGUACACCCCCGUGCAUCUUUAUAUCAUCUCUCGACGAUCUACGUACCUAUAUAUAUCUAUUAUGUGUCUUACUAGCUAUCUAAGUUAUGUGUACAAUAUGCAAAUCAUGUACGUACUUAUACCUCACAACUUCUCAGGUAGAAUCACAUAUUCUACGUACGUUAUUAUGUUAAGACAAUUUGCCGCAGCAGUAUUUCAGAAAAAUCUGAAAGCCGAUCUGGCCUGACCUACGUACGUACUCCCUUUCAUCGAGGAAGUAUUUGGCUGUUGAUACUUCCGAUUGAAUAUUACUAUACUAAUUUAAUAAAAAUUCAUUCAAUUAUAUAGGAUUUAUAUAAACUGUUGGGAGCAUUUAAACAUGAGGCCGUUGUUUUAAUGCAUUCAUCUAGGAUUUACUGGCUCAAAUAAAAAAGACGGGGCGAGCCGGAGCACGACCACGGACCGGCUUGGUCCGUUACACUAGGCAGUGUUGGGCCGCUGUCAUUGAGCCCGUUGGCCCGAGGCUCGGCACGUCAAGAACUGGCACGGCCUAAGCCCCAGGUCCUUUGCCUUGGACCUUCGGGAAUGAGUUCCUGUUCCUCCCUAGAAGCUACAUCUCCUUUGAAUGGGUUGGUCCAUAUUGGAUCAAAACAUCGCAAAUCACUUUUUUUAAAAAAAAAGAAUUAAACAUAUAAUUUGUUUAAAAAAUAUUUUUUUGUAAUUAUUUUUCAAAAUUUUAUAUUUUCUUUUCUUACGUAUAUUACCAAACUACUUUUUUCUCGCCAAUUUUUAUUUUAGUGCUAAUAAAUUUAUUAUUUUAGAAAAUCUGAUAAUAAUUCUUUUAAGAGACGUUGGUUAAGUAGUACAAAAAUAUAAAACAACUAUUCAUGGCAGACUCAUUGAUAAUUUCUAUGAAAUUAUUAUUUUAUUAUUUUAUAUAUUUUAUUAUUUUUAAUAUCAAAAUAAGUUGAAUAUAUCUCUUUUAUUUUUAAUCAGUAUUUUAUAGUGUAGGGGAUAAAAAAAAAAAAAGUUUAAGCGGUGCAAAAAAAUUAGUAUAAUAUAGAAAGUGAAAUACAGUAUAGUGUAAUUAAAUCUUACAAAAAAAUAAUUAUGGCACAUUGUAUGUGAUAAUUACGAAAAAAAGAAAAUCAUGGCGCACAGCUCAUGCACGGCACUAGUAGGAAACUCCAAUUUUGAGUCUUAGUCCUUGUUUGGAUGCAUAGUUAAAAAAUUUUAUAAAAUUUUUAUUGUAUAGUUUUGAUCUAAAUGAAAUACGAAAUUUUGUGACUAUACAAAAAUUUCAAAACUUCAUAUUUAAGCUGUUUGGAUACAUAUCAUAUUAAUUUCGUGGGUGUGAUAUUUCUUUUCUGGGGCCCACUAGAUUUCACCCGGGGUGUACUAGUUUCAAGUUUCAACUCGCGUCCUCAUUUUUCCAUCCACAACGUAGCAAUUACUAUCUUUUAUAUUCAGCGAAUGAGAGCAACUGCAUCAGAGGAGUCAGAUACGUAUAAAACUGUCCCUGAUUUGAUAUACUGUACCAAUAUUCUUAAAAUAUAGGUAGGAAAAAAAGUAUAUGUUCUUCCCAUUUAAUUUGGGAUCCGAUACGGACCUGAGUAUUUAAAUUAUUAAUAUAUUCAUCGAAUCUGUUUGAACAUAUUUGGAUAGUAAAUAUCUGUCUACUAUCCGCUUAAAAUUAGGUACGGAUCGAAUACAGAUCAGGUCCAGAUCAACUAUACGUACCCGCAUGCAUAUUUUUUAUAGACUAUUAAAUAGCUUAUGCACAAAUCAUAAAUUUUUUACUAUCGAAAACUCAUGUUCUAAUGAGUUGCACCCAGUCAAAGAGAUCGAAGAGGCAAUGAGAGCGGCUAGGGUUUGAUUUUUUUUUUACUCCUUUUCUUAAUUCCAGCAAUAAAUAUGGAUUCCAAUUUAGAGAGAAAAAUUCAAACAGUAAACAACGGUUAGAAUUUAAAAAAAUAAGGAGAAAAAAAAUAAAAAAAUAGUAAAUAUAGUGGCUAGGUUUCACUAAGAUGAAAAUACACAGAAAUCUUUAAUCUAUAAAUCCUAUUAAAAUUGAUUCCUCAACUUUAUAUUUUUUUUAUUAACUAUUGGGUGUUUUAUUUCUCCAAGUCGGAGAUGGGUAUAAUGUAUCCAAAUCCAUGCGAAAUUUUUAUGAUUUUUUUUAUCUAUAUAUUAUUUAUUUUUUAUUGGGUCCAGUUCGAUCCGGGUAGGAUAUGGAAUAUCGAGAUAUUUUGAUCAUACUUGGAUGGAAACCUCUUUUCGAUUAAUACCUAUCUUAUACAAAGUUGAACAGGUAUGGAUUGUACAUUCGUUGUACAACAAACAUGCAUUACUUUUUAAGCAUAACAAAACAUGAAUAAUUUAGGCGUCAUCUAAUAUCUUGAUAAUUUUUCUUGAGAUAAAAGUAGCAUUCUAUCCGCUUCAUUUAUUGAACAAAUGAAUUAGACUGCAUAGGUGAGGCAACAGCAAGCCUCUAACAAGGCGGGCAAAAAAAAAAGGAUAAUUGCUUAAAUAUUCUUCAAAAUUUUAAAAAUAUCUUAUUAAUCUCUACUUUUUUUUUUCUUUUCAAUAUACACCUCAUAUGUUCCUUAGUUAUUCUAAAAUAUUCCUACAAUUAUCACCCGCUAAAUUAAUUUGGGUUAACGUGAGUUAAAUAUCUACUAGAAUUUUUUAAAAAAAUUAAAAUGCCUCUUUUGCCCUUAACACAAGGGCAAAUAAGAAAUAUUGGUGAUGAUAAAAAAAUAUAUUUGAAAAGACUAAAAAUUAAAAUAUUUUUUGUGCCCCAACUUAAAGCAAAUAAGAAAAGUCGGUGAUGGUAGAAGGGUAUAUUUGAAAGGGCAAAAUAGUAAUUUUAUACAGAUAGUAGCCGAGAUUAACUCUGGAGGUAUAUUUAAAAUAGGUUGGAACGUAAAAAAAAUAUUUUCAAUAUUAACUUUUUAAGAAGAGUAAAUUAUAAAGUUGGAAACUUUUCAGUGUUAUAUAAACAAUUGCCAAAUCCAUGCGAAAUUUUUAUUAACUAUUGGGUGUUUUAUUUCUCCAAGUCGGAGAUGGGUAUAAUGUAUCCAAAUCCAUGCGAAAUUUUUAUGAUUUUUUUUAUCUAUAUAUUAUUUAUUUUUUAUUGGGUCCAGUUCGAUCCGGGUAGGAUAUGGAAUAUCGAGAUAUUUUGAUCAUACUUGGAUGGAAACCUCUUUUCGAUUAAUACCUAUCUUAUACAAAGUUGAACAGGUAUGGAUUGUACAUUCGUUGUACAACAAACAUGCAUUACUUUUUAAGCAUAACAAAACAUGAAUAAUUUAGGCGUCAUCUAAUAUCUUGAUAAUUUUUCUUGAGAUAAAAGUAGCAUUCUAUCCGCUUCAUUUAUUGAACAAAUGAAUUAGACUGCAUAGGUGAGGCAACAGCAAGCCUCUAACAAGGCGGGCAAAAAAAAAAGGAUAAUUGCUUAAAUAUUCUUCAAAAUUUUAAAAAUAUCUUAUUAAUCUCUACUUUUUUUUUUCUUUUCAAUAUACACCUCAUAUGUUCCUUAGUUAUUCUAAAAUAUUCCUACAAUUAUCACCCGCUAAAUUAAUUUGGGUUAACGUGAGUUAAAUAUCUACNCCCCCCCCCAAAAAAAAGAACAGAGAGGGAGAGGGGGGAGAGAGAGAAAGAAUUUGCUGCUAGCUUGCUAUUGCUAUAAUGCUAUGUUGAUGAGCUUAGCUAAAAAUGUGAAUUAACUAAAAUUUGAAUUUGGAGCCUCGAGAACCAACCGCUAAUUCUUUUGUCACUUGCGUCAGGAACGAUCGGUGCAAUCAACUUUUAUUAAUACAUUAAACUAUAGCAUAUAAGUACAAAUAAUAAAUCAAAUCAUGUAGCUUUUAUGAGUGGGGCACAGAGCUACAAUGUAUAGAGUAUGGAGAAAAAAAAUUUAUAAACAUAAUCUCCAAACAAUUUUAUUUGAGAAUUAGUAGGAUGGGCGCUACGUGGCAACUGGCAGCCACCAAUCGAGCGGCCAGCCCAGGUAAAAUAGUUGAAGAGAAUUUUUUUUUUUUUUGAGAAUUAGGUAGCAAGCUAUCUGCUUCAUUCAUUAAGUAAUAUAAAUUAGGCGUACAACAUGGAAGCAGCUAGGGCCUCCUAACCAAGCGAGGAAAACGAGUACAAAGCAAAAGAAAACAAACCAAACCAAGAAAAACAAGUCUAUAAAACAACAAAAGUAAAAGAUUGGAAACGAAGGAAAAACAAGUAAACAUGAGUAUAGGAGGAAGGAAUUGAACGAGGGUUAUAAUGCGGUUUCAAAGAACUUCGGUCCAAUCAGUGCUCAGAGUCACGACGCGUUCGAGAUAUUUUAAAAUAGUUGAAGAGAAUCUUCGUGCCAGUUGAAGGGGUUUCCAUGAUAUUUUAAAUGUUUGGGUUAUCUUGAUGUCUACACAUGAGUUUUUUUAUGUGGGUCGCAGUGUCCGCCAUGUAAUAAUCAUAUUUUUAUUUUUCGCCAAAAUAUCUUGUCCUAGUAACAUACCUCGUAAUGUCUUAGUCAAAAUUAUUAAGGUGUGCCACACCCAUGUGGCAAGUUAAAGACAAGUCUCCUAUCGCUGCCACCUUAAUUCAUUGCAAUUCUCCAUUAAUAUACAUAACCAAAAAUAAGAAAAAUGCUAUAGACAUCUCAGAAUAUAUAUAUAUUGUAAAAUAAUUCCAUCAAUGAGUAAAUCUUGAACUUUUCACCAUCUCUUAUAUACACAAAUCUAAUUUAUUAAUAGCAAACAAUUAAGCAUUAUCAUAUGAGGUCAUGAGCUGAGCUUAUUUGGGUCUGUGUAGAGUGUGGUGUUGUCUAAUAAUUAGGGUUUGAAUGGCAGAACAGUAUUACGUCAAAAUCGUUUUUUGUAGGAAAAUUAAAAAUUUCAUAUUAAAGAUUUUACUUUGAGAGCGAAAAAUAUGAUUUUAACUGUACUGCUGCAGUACGUAUCUAGAUAACUUGUUGCGGCUAAAAGUUCUCCAUGAUUUAUGUGGCUGAAGUUGAAGUAGAAUUAAGUCAAACACGUCGGGGGAAGCAGAUGCCAUAAAUACAUAGCAGAUGCAUUAGCUCUUUUACUUCACAACUGAAACACCCCAA
rnacentral:lncRNA from 1 species